rnacentral:lncRNA from 1 species
UUAGCAGGUUUAGAUCUGGUUAUUACUUGGAUGAGAGACCGCCAAGGAAUAUCAGGUGCUUUAAGCUUUUGGAAUUUUUUCACUUAGUAUAUAAUAAAUUUGGCAAAAAAUAGAAGUCAAAUGCCCGAUCUCUGAAUAUAAGCAGGUUUGGCCAGGUUUAGUACAUGGGAUGGGAGACUGCCUGGAAUACCAGGUGCUUUAAAUUUUGGAUAUUUUUCCGAAUUAUAUAAUUAAUCUUGCAAAAAAAAAAAAAAAAAAAGAAGAAGUCAAUGCCCAAUCUCUGAAUCUUAGCAGGUUAAGGUCUGAUUAGUACUUGAAUGAUAGACCGCCAAGGCAAUACCAGGUGCUUUAAGCUUUUUGAAAUUUUCAUUAGUAUAUAAUAAUUUUGCCAAAAAAAAAAAAAGAGUCAAUGCCCGAUCUCUGAAUUUUAGCAGGUUUAGGUCUAGUUAGUACUUGGAUGAGAGACCGCCAAGGAAUACCAGGUGCUUUAAGCUUUUGGAAUUUUUUUUCACUUAGUAUAUAAUAAAUUUGGCAAAAAAUAGAGUCAAUGCCCGAUCUCUGAAUAUAAGCAGGUU